UUUCAACAUUAGCAGUCAUUUCGGCAAAGCUCUCAGAGUCAAUUUCUCAUACACUGGUGUGAUUCGCAUUCACUGGGGACCCUUUGGCUCUUAAAAAGCUGCAGUUGCCCCAAAGAGGUGACGGAUAUGAACAAAUCUGUGUUGCUUUUCUCUUAAAAACUGUGAGUUUGCAUGAGGGAUCUGGGUAGAAAUAUGCUUCUUCUCUGUGCAUCAUGGGAGGCUGCUGCUCCGUUGGCUCUGAGAAUGAUAGUUGCCCCCAUAGGUGGUCCCUUGCAGUCUGGGAAAUCAAGUGUCGAGGAUGUCAUUUCCACCAGAAGAGUCAAGCCCUGAGCAGCUGCCUGCCUUCCUUUGCUACACCAGGAGCUCCUAGGGAGUCACAGGAAGCUCCAGUUACCACCGUCUCCAUCAGACGGGAUCCUUCCUCAGGAAUGCGAGCUGUGACAUUGCAUCUCCAUUGGCAGUCUCUUCUGUACUCCCAGCACUUAGCAUCUAGGCCCUGGAGGAAUCCAGAAGCACUGGCUUCUUCCGUCCUACCAAGGCAGGAAUGUUAAGUCACCUCUUCAUGCCUGUACCUCUGUCCCCCA
rnacentral:lncRNA from 1 species